UGGCGCAGUGGUUAAGGGCGCUGUACUGCAGCGCCAGCUGUGCCACCAGAGACUCUGGGUUUGCGACCAGGCUCUGCCGUAACCGGCCGCGACCGGGAGGUCCGUGGGGCGAUGCACAAUUGGCCUAACGUCGUCCGGGCUAGGGAGGGUUUGGCCGCUGCCAACUUCCUCCCAGCAGCACCAGCAACGCAAGCUAAGCUUUCAAAAGGAGACGACAUCCUGUCUAGUUACGUCUGAUUGUCCAACAACCUGCCCACCUCAUCCCUCCUAUGUCUGACCACUGGCUGCUUUCCCUACGACUUCAAGACAGUCAGUUGGACCCCUCCUCAAGAAACAAACACUUCUCAAACAGGAUCUAGGGGUUCUGCCCUGAGCAGCCUGCCGUAUACCUUCCCCACACCUUGAUCCACCUGAUGUCCUCCAUGACCACCCACCCUCCAUGAUGCCUCUUUCCUUACAUUAUCUACAGCAGUGGUCACCGACCUUUUCUGAGUCAAGAUCACUUUGUUAGUCAAAAUGCAAGUUGAGAUCUACCGCUCAGAUUUUUGUUAAACAUGACUUAAGCGUAAGCCUAUGCAACAUUAACCAAUUAAAAAACAGUUAUGUAGCAAUGAGGUUUGUGCAGUAGGCUAUAAGCCCAAUAUAUUAGUCCAUGCUUGAAUUGCCCUGCCAAUGUUGUUCUUCUCAGACCAUUUUCAAAUUAUAUUUUACAAUUGUAGGUAUAUAAUCACACUGGUAAUUGAUCAUUUGUUGUAUUACUUUUCAUGCACAGCUUAAUAAUUAGCUUUUUGUUCUGGACUGAUGGCCUGCAUCUGAUGGUCAGUCUGAGGGGAGGGAGCAGCGGUCGGGCUGCCUUUCACCCGACUCACCGUCCCUCUGCUGAGAAAAGGGGACACAGUCUUCCAGCUGAUGGCGAAACUGAAGUCGCACUGUAUUUUUGCCUCAUGCACCAAUUCAUGUUACUCCUAUGACCAGAGAAAGUGAAAUAUUCCUUGAUAUUAAAAAGGGCAAGCCGCUAAUAAUAACGCAACUUUGCUAUACUCCUUCAUUGCAGUGGCAGUGCUGGUAGUAGCGAGAAUGUAACUAGGGGGAACACACAUUUAUGGCUUAUAAAAGUGUUGACAGUGCCGAAUAACAACUUAAACAUGAUGUUACUCAUAAAAACAUCCAGGUCUUUGCUGUAUUUGUUGAGUUUCUCUAGUCAUGGUUUUAAAUGUUUUGUAAUCUCAAAGAAUAAACUUCGCUGUGCGUUCAA